rnacentral:ncRNA from 1 species
UUGAAUGAUGAUGGAUGGUAGAUGUGAGAAUGUGGGGGUACGAAUGUGGGGGUGUGUCUGAAUGGUCAUUUUUGUUGAACAUUGUGUUGUGUUGGGGCUACCAACCCUUAACUGUUUUGGAGUUUAAAUUGGAAGUGCCCUUCUGGUACGAGGCCUGACCAGAGGCCUUUAAUCUGGUACCACGGGUAACCAGGAGCCCACGGAACUUGUUCCGUCCUGGUUAGUUGGUGCGGCCCUUCGGGGAGUAUCGUGGUGGUUGUGGUUUAACACCCAAAUGCGGGUAGAGCAUCGCUCGACGUGGAGUUGCGUCAUACAACCGGGUUCCGUGACCCAGAUUACGGAAGAGGCUUAGAUAGUCCUCGUGCCAAACCAAGGUAGAAGUCACAACCAAACAGUCGUGUCUUUAAUUGGUACCUGCGGAAUUGUUCCAAGGGGGCGGUGAUUGACGCUUGAAUUAAUCCUAUACUAGGAACCGUGAGAUUAAGCCAUCGCGGCAGGUGCUCACGUUAAGCCCACUGACUUUCAUGUCCCUAUCUACUAUCUAGCGAAACCACAGCCAAGGGAACGGGCUUGGAAUAAUUAGCGGGGAAAGAAGACCCUUUUGAGCUUGACUCUAAUCUGGCAGUGUAAGGAGACAUAAGAGGUGUAGAAUAAGUGGGAGAUAUUAGACUUCGGUUUGGUAUCGACAAUGAAAUACCACUACUCUUAUUGUUUCCUUACUUACUUGAUUAAAUGGAACGUGUAUCAUUUCCUAGCCAUUAUACGGAUAUAAUUAUUAUGUCUUAUGGUAUUGGGUUUUGAUGCAAGCUUCUUGAUCAAAGUAUCACGAGUUUGUUAUAUAAUCGCAAACAAAUUCUUUAAUGAGAGAAUGCAUUUAUGUAUUAUUGAUUUAAAAAUUUGGUAUAACUCCAAUUACUCAGGUAUGAUCCAAUUCAAGGACAUUGCCAGGUAGGGAGUUUGACUGGGGCGGUACAUCUCUCAAAUAAUAACGGAGGUGUCCCAAGGCCAGCUCAGUGCGGACAGAAACCACACAUAGAGCAAAAGGGCAAAUGCUGACUUGAUCUCGGUG